UUCGUAGGCGGUGUGGCAAGUUGGGAGUGAAAUCUCUGGGCUUAACCCAGAGGCUGCUUCCAAAACUGCUGUGCUCGAGUGUGGGAGAGGCGCGUGGAAUUGCAGGUGUAGCGGUGAAAUGCGUAGAUAUCUGCAGGAACACCCGUGGCGAAAGCGGCGCGCUGGACCACAACUGACGCUGAGGAACGAAAGCUAGGGGAGCAAACAGGAUUAGAUACCCUGGUAGUCCUAGCCCUAAACGAUCAGGACUUGGGGUGCCGCCCGUUCGGGCGUCGUCCCGGAGCUAACGCGUUAAGUCCUGCACCUGGGGAGUACGGUCGCAAGACUGAA
rnacentral:rRNA from 1 species